rnacentral:rRNA from 1 species
UACGAAGGGGGCUAGCGUUGUUCGGAAUUACUGGGCGUAAAGGGCGCGCAGGCGGCUGCUCAAGUCAGGCGUGAAAGGCCUGGGCUCAACCCGGGAAUUGCGCUUGAGACUGGGCUGGCUUGAGUGCGGGAGAGGAUGGUGGAAUUCCCAGUGUAGAGGUGAAAUUCGUAGAUAUUGGGAAGAACACCGGUGGCGAAGGCGGCCAUCUGGACCGCAACUGACGCUGAGGCGCGAAAGCGUGGGGAGCAAGCAGG